UACACAAAGAAAUCUUCAAAAAUAGUAAGAAUUGAAGUACAAGAAAAAUUUGUUCAAAUUUUGGGCUCUAACUUGGAGUGUACCCAACACAUACAUAGAGGACAGUAAAGAAUUGCAUAGAAGAUCUUUUCGACCUUUGUUCGACUCUGUUUCAGUGUGUUUAGAUGUUGUUUGGAAGAGAGGUCUAUUUGCUGAAGCCGCAACGAUUUGUUUUAUGUUUGUGGAUACAUGAGCAUCUGUAUUUUGCAUCUUAUGUUUGCCUUCUAGGUUCGUUGUCUUCAAAUCGAUGUUCAUUUGAGUUGAAUUCUUCACGCAACGGCUUAUAGUUGAAACAUU
rnacentral:lncRNA from 1 species